UUCCAGACUCCUACGGGAGGCAGCAGUGAGGAAUAUUGGUCAAUGGGCGGGAGCCUGAACCAGCCAAGUCGCGUGAGGGAUGACGGCCCUAUGGGUUGUAAACCUCUUUUGCCGGGGAGCAAAGUGCCGCACGUGUGCGGUUUGGAGAGUACCCGGAGAAAAAGCAUCGGCUAACUCCGUGCCAGCAGCCGCGGUAAUACGGAGGAUCCGAGCGUUAUCCGGAUUUAUUGGGUUUAAAGGGAGCGUAGGUGGAUUGUUAAGUCAGUUGUGAAAGUUUGCGGCUCAACCGUAAAAUUGCAGUUGAAACUGGCAGUCUUGAGUACAGUAGAGGUGGGCGGAAUUCGUGGUGUAGCGGUGAAAUGCUUAGAUAUCACGAAGAACUCCGAUUGCGAAGGCAGCUCACUGGACUGCAACUGACACUGAUGCUCGAAAGUGUGGGUAUCAAACAGGAUUAGAUACCCCUGUA
rnacentral:rRNA from 1 species